UCGAAAUAAAAUGAAAAUAGCUGUUUGUAAUAUCCAAUCAAUCAAUAUUGGCGGAUAAGAAGUCAACAGGAUCAAUAAGAAACUUAAUAAAUGAUUUUAGCUAAAUAUUUGACAAAUAUGAAGGAAUUUAUAUGCCAGGAGCGAGCUAUCUGCUUUCGGCGCAGCUGUGGCGAUGGUUACACAGCAGAGAAUAAUCGAUAUGGACCAAAGACAAAAGGAUGAAAUAACUAAAUAAAUGAUUUCCAUUAAAAUAGCAAUGGAAACUCAUGACAAGAGCUGCUGCUCAGCGAUGGACCAAAGAUGACCCGAGAAGGAAUCUUUAAAGCUUAGCCAUUUUGGAACGCCAGUUUUCUUAAACGUAUACAUAUAUGCCAACUGGAUUGGGUUUUUAAUAAAUAUAUGUUUAUUUUGAGCAACAAUGUUUUUAAUACGGGAUGCCUGCAAAGCUGGCGGAAAUAAAGCAAACAAUGCUGCCCACAAUAAACGCACGGAAUGCAACGGCAGUGAUGUCAUUACG